rnacentral:rRNA from 1 species
UCAAGUCAUCAUGGCCCUUACGAGUAGGGCUACACACGUGCUACAAUGGCGCAUACAAAGAGAAGCGACCUCGCGAGAGCAAGCGGACCUCAUAAAGUGCGUCGUAGUCCGGAUUGGAGUCUGCAACUCGACUCCAUGAAGUCGGAAUCGCUAGUAAUCGUGGAUCAGAAUGCCACGGUGAAUACGUUCCCGGGCCUUGUACACACCGCCCGUCACACCAUGGGAGUGGGUUGCAAAAGAAGUAGGUAGCUUAACCUUCGGGAGG